rnacentral:lncRNA from 1 species
GGUAACAUCUCAGACCAUCAUAGGUUUUGACAGGGGAAACUCUGAAGGACCACAGGAGUUGGAGGUUCCACGUAUCUCUAAGUAGUAACAUACGAUGGGUCCAAAACAGAAGAAAGAGAACUCAAGAUUCCCGAGCCACAGAGCUGUUGAUUGGAGGCUGACUCAGAGAAACCCUGGAUUCAGUGACAUACAGAGACAACAGGGACUUAAUCGCCUUCUGGACAAACAUAAUCUAUGCGACCUCCUCCCCAUAAGGUACAGGAUCAGUAUGGGUUUUAAUUGAGGGGCUCGGCACCAAAUGACAGACUUGACACAUCCACCCCCACCAUGGAUGCUGUCCGUCCACUGUUGCACAAUGUCCUUCAGUGUCUAAUUUACAGAUCCAGCUGUAUUUCCCCUUCCACCUGCAUCCCUGAAGUUCCUCCCACCUGAAAACUUCACCUGACCCAAGAAAGCAAAGGAAAAAACCCGGAGAGCCAGCUCAUAGUCUGGUUCACUGUUUAACAGCCAGAAGCCAGAGCCUGCGUACUAGAAGUGGAUGCCCAGGAAGUACUUGUGAGCUGACUAAGAAUGUAAGAACGCCACCCACUUCAUUCAGGAAAGUGAGGCAGGAUUCCAUGGAGUAUGAAUGACUGCACAUGGAACAAGCAGGUUAUCAUUUAUAUUCAGCAAGGGACCUCCAUGAACAGGACAUUUGGGGAGCUGCUAUCAAACAUCAGAACUUCUGACACUGUGCACACAGUCUUAUAUUGUGCCUUGUCUGUUGUGAUGUCUCACUACAGUAAUGAUUAAGAU